AGGGAAUCUUGCGCAAUGGGCGAAAGCCUGACGCAGCAACGCCGCGUGGGGGAUGAAGGCCUUCGGGUUGUAAACCCCUUUCAGGAGGGAAGAAAUUGACGGUACCUCCAAAAGAAGGACCGGCCAACUACGUGCCAGCAGCCGCGGUAAUACGUAGGGUCCUAGCGUUAUCCGGAAUCAUUGGGCGUAAAGAGCUCGUAGGCGGUUCAGCAAGUCGGCUGUGAAAGUCCGAGGCUCAACUUCGGAAUUGCAGUCGAUACUGCUGUGACUCGAGUCCGGUAGAGGAGAAUGGAAUUCUCGGUGUAGCGGUGAAAUGCGCAGAUAUCGAGAGGAACACCAGUAGCGAAGGCGGUUCUCUGGGCCGGCACUGACACUGAGGAGCGAAAGCGUGGGUAGCGAA
rnacentral:rRNA from 1 species